AGGUGAUGUCUCCUUACCUUUAUCAAUGAGGGCACUCGGUUGCACUGUGGGUGGGGAGCGGUCUCCGCCUUAGAUACGAGGAGUUAUCAGUGGUGUGGUGUGAGGUGAGGUGGGGUUAAAUGCCCC
rfam:Bacillus sp. CHD6a contig3, whole genome shotgun sequence.